GCAUUCGUGGUGUAAUGGUCGGCACACUCGGCAUGCACGCGAGAGGUCCGAGGUUCGAAUCCCAGCGAAGGCA
rnacentral:tRNA from 1 species